rnacentral:piRNA from 1 species
UCCUCUGUAGAAGAUGCCUGUUCGUGUC